rfam:Canis lupus familiaris chromosome 20, whole genome shotgun sequence.
GUGCUUGCUUUACCAGCACAUAUACUAAAAUUAGAAUGAUACUAAGAAGAUUAGCAUGACCCUCUGUGCAGGGAUGACACCCAAAUUUGUGAAGCGUUACCAUAUUUA